GAGAAUAAAAUGGAAUAUCAUUAAAAGUUAGGGGUCUCAAAUAUCAGGUCUCAAAGAUAUUUUCGACAUCAUUGGCCUAACGAUCAGAAGGUUUUAAAAUUUGUAAUUUUAAUAGUCGAUAUAAGAUGUUUUCUCGUUUAACGGCGUAAAAAUAUUAAAAUCAAUUGAAUUUUGGUUAGAAAAUUUUUUAAACUAUUUAGAACAAAAUCUAUAAUCUUGAUCUUGAUUACAAGACUUCUAUCAUUACUUGUUAAAGAAUAUUCAUUUUCAGCUGUUGAUUUUUGUACCCACUUGAUGGAUGAGAGAACAAUAUAGAAAAAAUAUAAAAUUUGGUUUCUAAAUGAUUCAAGUGGCAUAGAUAAUAUUCAACGGUACCGAUUGUCGAUUUGGGGGCUCUAUCAUCGAAAAUAAAUGAAUGGCAACGGUGCCCAUUUACCACCGAUUGCAUUCCAACUCAACUCUAUAUAUUUAUACUUCAUGUGUAAACACUUUAAUAGUUUUAACUUUAGAGUCUCAGCUUGACUUUGUAGAGGCUUGAACCGAGUUCGGAUUGUCGUUGGUCAAACAUUUUAAGUGUCAAGCCCAAUCCCACCCAUCAAGUUUCGAGCUCAAUAACACGGAGCAGACCACCUAAUCUCUAGC
rnacentral:lncRNA from 1 species